AUUUAAUUAUCUAAAUUAAACAUUAAUCUUUGGAUUAAAAUUAGAUCAAACAGGUUGAUGUAUGAACUUAGAUCGAUAAAUAAGUAUCCGGGAUAUUUAUAUUUAUGAUGUAAGCUUCAUAGGUUAAUUUGAUUGGUAAUUUUCGGAACCUCCAGUGAAUAGCACAGAGGUGAUUCCAGUGUGCAGAAUUAACUCUACACAGGCUACUAUCGAUGCUUCUGCAAGAAUUUCGCAUGGACAGAUGCUGCCCAGACAACCUUUGACAGCUGUAAGCCUCUGCUGAGGAGUGCCCCGGUUCUCUUGGCUCCUGACCUUUCCAAGGCCUUUCAGUUAGCAGUGGAUGCAAGUGAUGUGGGGAUGGGAGCCGUCCUACUCCAGGAGGACGCUGCCAAAAUCAGCCAUCCCGUGACCUACCACUCCAGGAAGUUCACCUCUCAUCAACUGAACUAUUCCACAGUUGAGAAAGAGGCAUUGGCAUUAAUUCUAGCACUGCAACAUUUUGAAGUUUACGUGAGUACUGGACACCCUUUAUUGGUUUACACUGAUCAUAAUCCCCAAGUGUUUUUAUCCAGGAUGUACAACAAGAAUCACUGACUGAUGGGAUGGGCUCUGUUUCUACAAGACUUCGAACUAGACGUCAAACACAAAAAGGGAUCUGACAACGUGAUCACUGACUGUUUAUCCCGGUCAUUUCCUCCCCAGUACCUCCACCCGGGCCUACAGGUUUCAGUGUGUUGAGCUCCCCUUGACAGGUUUUUAGAGAUCUUUCCGCUUUGGGAUUAAUCUGGUUAUGUUUUAAUGUUGCAACAAGUGGGUCAGUGUUGGUGUUUCUCACCAUCUCGGGAGCACCCCUGGAAGAGUUGGGACAGGCUUGUUCCUAGGCCACCCCUCUCUUUGCUGGUUUUGAUGCAGGUUUUCUCGCAUGUGCUUAAUCUGCCCGCCUGCAGCUCGCAUGAAGACUAGGUUUAGUUCACGUAGUUUCAGUUAGGCGGUUAGUAGGGGUCUCUUCCACUGUUUUGUUGGGUUACCUCUUCUCUGUUAAAAGAAGGUGAGGUUAAUUUUAACUUCCUUUCUUUUCUUUAAAGGGGGGGGGGGUGGGGGGCGUUACGAUUUCUGGGUUUUCCCUCCAACCAUCACCAUCAGGAUGAGCUGUCUUCCCUCAGAUCCCAUGGCCAUGGCUUCUGGUGGACGACUGGUCAGAAGAUACUUCCCAGGUGCACCAGUCGUGCGUAUGCUGAGGGUGUCUACGACCUUCAGAUACAUCAGAAGUCCAUUCACUCGCUCUGAGAGACGGCUUCACCUGCAGACCGGAUCUCCAGAGCUUCCAUGGUCUAGGGUGGGCGCGCCCGGAGAGCAGCUGCUGCGAAUUCUCUCAUCAGCUCACAGGGGAUUUAAGGAGCGGUGUGACAACUCACCAGUGCCGGAUAAUUACUCACAUUGGGUACUCUCAUCAUCUGCCUGUUACCAGCUCGUCAACCUGCACUCUCACCUGUUACAACAAGGCACCUCCAGAUCUCCUGUCCACCCGCCACACCACUUCUCCCUUUGGCCGUCUGCUCUCCUGCGCUCACCUGCCCGCUCCUGGAACCGGUGCUCAGCUCCCAGCCUCCUCCAACAGCUACCACUCAGACCUGACACGCCCUCCUCUCAGCACUCCACUCCCUUACUGGAAUCUGUAAGCCUCCAUUCUAAUCACACCUUCCCUGUCUGCUUUACAUUACUCAUUCUUGUUCUCUGUCUCAGAACGCUGCCAGAACCGCCCUCCUCCGAUGUCUCCCCAGCCUCGUCAAACUCAAUAAAUAAUAUAUUACUUUUAUUCACCUUGUCUCUUCGUGAUUCUGCAUGUCGUGGGUCAAAAGACUCGAUCCUAACAUGACAGCAGCAACCUUCUCCGGCUUCUGACGAGGCCUGCCCUUCUUCACGACUGUACUUCACUGUGGGAAGCAUGUGAGAGGCUCCGGUUCCACCAUAUUCAAUGUAGUCAUAGUAGUCUCCACCUGAUCUUACCACCUUGUGAGAAUUUGUGAAGGGGAUAAGUGGAAAACCGCCUUCAAAACCCUACUUGGACACUAUGAGUAUCUGAUCACUGACGGAACACCGUCAACAUGUCUGAGUUGUGCUUCAACGAGAGGGUGCUCGCUGCGGAACCACAAAGGCGGAGCUGCACCAGAGGGUGAAGCUGCACUAGAGUCAGCUCCGCCCAUUCCUGCUCCUA